rnacentral:rRNA from 1 species
AACGUAGGUGGCGAGCGUUAUCCGGAUUUACUGGGCGUAAAGGGUGUGCAGGCGGGCUGUUAAGUGGUGUAUGAAAUAUCCCGGCUCAACCGGGAGAGGUUAUGCCAGACUGGCAGUCUAGAGAGCGAGAGAGGGACGUGGAAUUCCGGGUGUAGUGGUGAAAUGCUUAGAGAUGACAUAGAACACCUAUUGCGAAGGCAGCUAACUACGCGAAUAUUGACGCUGAGGCACGAAAGCGUGGGGAUCAAACAGG